rnacentral:rRNA from 1 species
CUGAACCAGCCAAGUAGCGUGAAGGAUGACUGCCCUAUGGGUUGUAAACUUCUUUAUAUGGGAAUAAAGUGGUCCACGUGUGGAUUUUUGUAUGUACCAUAUGAAUAAGGAUCGGCUAACUCCGUGCCAGCAGCCGCGGUAAUACGGAGGAUCCGAGCGUUAUCCGGAUUUAUUGGGUUUAAAGGGAGCGUAGGCGGAUUGUUAAGUCAGUUGUGAAAGUUUGCGG